AGGUCUCACGAGAUCUGAUGGUUUUAUAAAGGGCAUUUCCCCUGCACAUGCUCUCUUGCCUGCCGCCAUGUAAGAAGUGCCUCUGAUCUUCCUUUGCCUUCCACCAUGAUUGUGAGGCCUCCCCAGCCAUGUGGAAUUGCCACUGACACAGCAAAACACCAGUUGUGACUUUCUGCCAGCCAUGAAGUCUGCAGAAUUCGAGGGGCUUUACCAGGAAUGAGUGACUGCUCAGAGGCCGGGCUUCUUUUCAAGUACUGCUGGAUCAUACUCACCCCUUGGGAUUAUGGCUUAGAAGAAGGGGGCUGGGUAGGCAAGCACUCCUUGGCUGUGUCCUCUCGCUUUUUCACUUACUUGUAGGAUCCCGCAGCAGCCAAUUUAGGGAUUGUGUUGUUCUUGUGUUGGUUCCCAUGUAAAGAAGCAGCAGAGAAAUGCGAUGGUUCAACAGCUCGCCCUGCCCCAAGUAUGCAGACUUGACCUUGGCGGGGUCCUGGGCUUCUAGAGUCUAGCCCGUUGACCCCAAAGCCUCAGGGCUUAUGUCCAACGGUCCCAUUGGGAGCAACAGUGAUUGUUUAUAGUUUUUUGUUUUCAGAAAUGAGGGCAGCUGUUAAUUUUUUCACUCAUGUGAAACAAAAUGAAAAAAAAAAUCCAAAACAGAACAAGCCCUUCUGUGGUAUUUGCUUUUUAUCAGAAAGAACAGCAACAUUUGGCCUCUCCAAGUUGGAAAAUAGAGUCCAAAUGUAACUUUGUGGCCAAGAGUAUUUUCAAAAAAGUCUAAAGGUGUAGUUUCCACUGUAACUGUUGAGUACUGUUAAGUACUGUUAAUCUUUUACAUAUUUGCACUUGGUACUGUUGUAUUGUUCUAAAGAGCUUGUCCUUUAAGUAAUUUCUUUCUUUUUUUUUUUUUUUUUUUUUUGUGACGGAGUUUCCCUCUUGUUGCCCAGGCUGGAGUGCAAUGGUGCAGUCUCGGCUCACUGCAACCUCCAACUCCCAGGUUCAAGUGAGUCUCGUGCCUCAGCCUCCCAAGUAGCUGGGAUUACAGGCACCCGCCACCGUGCCCGGCUAGUUUUUUUUUGUAUUUUUUUUAGUACAGAUGGGGUUUCACCAUGUUGGUCAGGCUAGUCUCAAACUCCUGACCUCAGGUGCUCCACCUGCCUUGGCCUCCCAAAGUGCUGGGAUUACAGGCGUGAGCCACUGUGCCCAGCCUAAGCCAUUUCUUAAAAUAAAAAUGCUAAAGGACUAGUAAGUAAAAAUAAAACUUCCUAUGGGAUUUCCCAGUGGAA